rnacentral:rRNA from 1 species
CCUACGGGUGGCAGCAGUAGGGAAUCUUCCACAAUGGGCGAAAGCCUGAUGGAGCAACGCCGCGUGGGUGAAGAAGGUCUCCGGAUCUUAAAACUUUGUUGUUAGAGAAGCAAGUUCGUGAUAGUAACUGUUCACGUUUCGACGUUAUCUAACCAGAAAGCCUCGGCUAACUACGUGCCAGCAGCUGCGGUAAUACGUAGGUGGCAAGCGUUAUCCGGUUUUAUUGGGCGAAAGGGGAACGCAGGCGGUCUUUAAAGUAUGAUGUGAAAGCCUUCGGCUUAACCGGAGUAGUGCAUUGGAAACUGGGAGACUUGAGUGCAGAAGAGGAGAGUGGAACUCAAUGUGUAGCGGUGAAAUGCGUAGAUAU